UAAAAAUUAGUUAAUUUAUAACAUAAGCUUGUCAAGCUUAAAUUAUUAGAAAUCUAAUAUUUUUAA
rnacentral:tRNA from 1 species